rnacentral:rRNA from 1 species
AUACGUAGGGGGCGAGCGUUGUCCGGAAUGAUUGGGCGUAAAGGGCGCGUAGGCGGCCCGGUAAGUCUGGAGUGAAAGUCCUGCUUUUAAGGUGGGAAUUGCUUUGGAUACUGUCGGGCUUGAGUGCAGGAGAGGUAAGUGGAAUUCCCAGUGUAGCGGUGAAAUGCGUAGAGAUUGGGAGGAACACCAGUGGCGAAGGCGACUUACUGGACUGUAACUGACGCUGAGGCGCGAAAGUGUGGGGAGCAAACAGGAUUAGAUACCCUGGUAGUCCACACUGUAAACGAUGAAUGCUAGGUGUAGGGGGUAUCGACCCCUUCUGUGCCGCAGUUAACACAAUAAGUAUUCCGCCUGGGGAGUACGGCCGCAAGGUUGAAACUUAAAGGAAUUGACGGGG